rfam:Schistosoma mansoni, Puerto Rico, WGS project CABG01000000 data, contig: 0201
AUUCAGCUGAUGAGUCCCAAAUAGGAUGAAGCGCGCGUCCUGGAU